rnacentral:rRNA from 1 species
UACGUAAACAGCGAGCGUUGUUCGGAGUUACUAGGCGUAAAGAGUGCGUAGGCGGUGCUCUAAGUUUGGUGUGAAAUCUCCCGGCUCAACUAAAAGGGUGCGCCGAAAACUAAAGUGCUCGAGUAUGGGAGAGGUAAGCGGAAUUCCUAGUGUAGCAGUGAAAUGCGUAGAUAUCAGGAGGAACACCGGUGGCGAAGGCGGGUCUCUGGGCCGUAACUGACGCUGAGGAGCGAAAGCAUGGGGAGCGAACAGG